rnacentral:rRNA from 1 species
GUCCACACUGUAAACGAUGAUUGCUAGGUGUGGGGAGUUUGACCCUUUCCGUGCCGGAGUUAACGCAAUAAGCAAUCCACCUGGGGAGUACGGCCGCAAGGUUGAAACUCAAAGGAAUUGACGGGGCCCGCACAAGCAGUGGAUUAUGUGGUUUAAUUCGAAGCAACGCGAAGAACCUUACCAGGUCUUGACAUCCAACUAACGAGAUAGAGAUAUGUUAGGUGCCCUUCGGGGAAAGUUGAGACAGGUGGUGCAUGGUUGUCGU